AGAGUUUGAUCAUGGCUCAGAACGAACGUUGGCGGCGUGGAUUAGGCAUGCAAGUCGAACGAGAACCACUGGGCAACUGGUGGGGAAAGUGGCGAAAGGGGCAGUAAGGCGUGGGUAACCUACCCUGGGGACCGGGAUAGCCACUCUAACGGGUGGGUAAUACCGGGCGACGUAGCGAAGGCGCAUGUCUUUGCUACCAAAUGAGUUUCGCCCUGGGAGGGGCUCACGUGAUAUUAGCUUGUUGGCGAGGUAACGGCUCACCAAGGCAAAGAUGUCUAGCGGGUGUGAGAGCACGACCCGCGCCACUGGCACUGAGACACUGGCCAGACUCCUACGGGAGGCUGCAGUCGAGGAUCUUCGGCAAUGGGCGCAAGCCUGACCGAGCGACGCCGCGUGUGCGAUGAAGGCCUUCGGGUUGUAAAGCACUGUCGAGGGGGAGGAAGCUCCGCAAGGGGUUGACCUAUCCCUGGAGGAAGCACGGGCUAAGUUCGUGCCAGCAGCCGCGGUAAGACGAACCGUGCAAACGUUGUUCGGAAUCACUGGGCUUAAAGGGCGCGUAGGCGGGCAAGCAAGUCCGGGGUGAAAUCUUUCGGCUUAACCGGAAAAGUGCCUUGGAUACUGCUUGUCUCGAGGGAGGUAGGGGCAGCGGGAACUUCCAGUGGAGCGGUGAAAUGCGUUGAUAUUGGAAGGAACUCCGGUGGCGAAAGCGCGCUGCUGGAUCUCUACUGACGCUGAGGCGCGAAAGCUAGGGGAGCAAACGGGAUUAGAUACCCCGGUAGUCCUAGCCCUAAACGAUGGGUACUAGAUUGUGGACUUAACAUGGGUUCCCAGUCGAAGCAAAAGUGUUAAGUACCCCGCCUGGGGAGUAUGGUCGCAAGGCUGAAACUCAAAGGAAUUGACGG
rnacentral:rRNA from 1 species